AGCGGGGUAGCUCAGCGGUCAGAGCAGAUGGCUCAUAACCAUCAGGUCGAGUGUUCGAAUCACUCCCUCCGCUACCA
rnacentral:tRNA from 1 species